UGCCCAGCAACUCCUAUCCCUACCUCCUCGUGGUACUGGCCGGGGUACGAGUAACCUUGGGGAAGAUCGGGUAAUCUAACUCCCUGGUGGGAACUUUGGUCGUAUGCUGACAGGGAAUG
rnacentral:ribozyme from 1 species